rnacentral:tRNA from 1 species
GGGGCUAUAGCUCAGCUGGUAGAGCACCUGCUUUGCACGCAGGAGGUCAGCGGUUCGAUCCCGCUUGGCUCCA